rnacentral:rRNA from 1 species
GACGAACGCUGGCGGCGUGCUUAACACAUGCAAGUCGAACGGAAAGGCCCUGCUUGCAGGGUACUCGAGUGGCGAACGGGUGAGUAACACGUGGGUGAUCUGCCCUUCACUUCGGGAUAAGCCUGGGAAACUGGGUCUAAUACCGGAUAGGAGCCAUUUUUAGUGUGAUGGAUGGAAAGUUUUUUCGGUGUAGGAUGAGCUCGCGGCCUAUCAGCUUGUUGGUGGGGUAAUGGCCUACCAAGGCGGCGACGGGUAGCCGGCCUGAGAGGGUGGACGGCCACAUUGGGACUGAGAUACGGCCCAGACUCCUACGGGAGGCAGCAGUGGGGAAUAUUGCACAAUGGGCGCAAGCCUGAUGCAGCGACGCCGCGUGGGGGAUGACGGCCUUCGGGUUGUAAACUCCUUUCGCUAGGGACGAAGCUUUUUGUGACGGUACCUAGAUAAGAAGCACCGGCUAACUACGUG